rnacentral:lncRNA from 1 species
GAGGAGCUGUUUGAAACCAUCUCCUAAGCACUUAUAUCGUUAGUUGACCGUGAUUGCUUAAGUGGUUGGGGAGGACAUGUCUACAUUGUUUGGUUUUCAAACACAACUGGAUAAAGAAUGGGAGGCUUGACAAGAUUUGGAAAACCAAAUGUGAAGAAAGAAUGUGAAGAAAGAAAGCUACGUGAGCGGGCUGAAAGAGAUUAAGGGGAGCAACGAAUGCAAAAACAAUUGAAAGGUGUUAUGAGAAAAUUAGAUUGUCCGUGUAGUUAAAGGUAGUUUUUUUGUGUACUAUUUAGAUCAAUAUGUUAAAAAUUGUUAGUU